GACGAACGCUGGCGGCGUGCUUAACACAUGCAAGUCGAACGGAGUGGCGAACGGGUGAGUAACACGUGGGUGACCUGCCCUGCACUUCGGGAUAAGCCUGGGAAACUGGGUCUAAUACCGGAUAGUGUGGGAUGGGCCCGGGGCCUAUCAGCUUGUGGGUGGGGUAAUGGCCUACCAAGGCGGCGACGGGUAGCCGGCCUGGGAGGGUGGACGGCCACAAUGGGACUGAGUGACGGCCCAGACUCCUACGGGAGGCAGCGGUGGGGAGUGUUGCACAAUGGGCGGAAGCCUGAUGCAUCGACGCCGCGUGGGGGAUGACGGCCUUCGGGUUGUAAACUCCUUUCACCAUCGACGCGGUAUCUUACCAGAAAGCCACGGCUAACUACGUGCCAGCAGCCGCGGUAAUUC
rnacentral:rRNA from 1 species